AGAAUCAACGCUGGCGGCGUGCCUAACACAUGCAAGUCGAACGAGAAAGUGGAGCAAUCCAUUAGUAAAGUGGCGCACGGGUGAGUAACACGUGACUAACCUACCCUUGAGUGGGGGAUAACCUAGGGAAAACCUGGGCUAAUACCGCAUAAUACCUUCGGGUCAAAGGAGCAAUUCGCUUAAGGAGGGGGUCGCGGCCGAUUAGUUAGUUGGCGGGGUAAUGGCCCACCAAGACGAUGAUCGGUAUCCGGCCUGAGAGGGCGCACGGACACACUGGAACUGAAACACGGUCCAGACUCCUACGGGAGGCAGCAGUGGGGAAUUUUGCGCAAUGGGGGAAACCCUGACGCAGCAACGCCGCGUGGAGGAUGAAGCCCCUUGGGGCGUAAACUCCUUUCGAUCGGGACGAUUAUGACGGUACCGGAAGAAGAAGCCCCGGCUAACUUCGUGCCAGCAGCCGC
rnacentral:rRNA from 1 species